AAAGUGAUACGGUCAAGAGAAAUAGCAUAUUUCGCGCAAAUGUUUCUCCCGCACAAAGACGUUUUCCUAUAAAAAAAAAAGUUAAAUUACAUUUACGAAAAACAAUAUAGAAAAGUAACAUCUGCCGGUUAUUACCUGCGCCGAAAGGAAGUGACACAUCCUUCUGCAGCGACAGUUUUCCGUUUUCAUUAAGAAAGCGUUCCGGUCUAAAUGUUUGUGGAUCACCCCAGAAAAUGCACAAAUUACCUUUGGUAUCUUGUAGCCCAUAAGCUCCGUGUCCACCAACGCUUUGUGUGGUACAUCUGAUGGCACCAAAGUCUCAAUUCUCAAGCCCUCACGAACAGCAGCUUCUGUAAAGUGUAAAUUCUUUCUAUCUUCAAGUGUGGGCAAACGCCCUCUACCUACAACCUCAUCUAUUUCCGCUUGCAUACGUCUCAUCACUUCCGGUUGAAGAAGAAGAUGUUGUAUCAAAAAUGUAGCUUGUACACCAAGCGCUGUGAACGCAGGAAAAGCAAAAUCUACCAAACCCAUUAUGAAUUGAGUGCGAUAAUAAACAUCCGCUUGCUCCUCCGCAUGCUCGAGCUUCAUUUGUUUAAUAUAUAAAUCGAGAAAAUUUCGCUCACUACACUCGUCAUAUGUGGCUAUAUGUUGAUCGACAAUUUUUUCGAAAUACUCAAAAAGAAAUUUAUUCGACUCCGUCAAAACAUCAUAAGCGCUCCAUUUGGGAAAUGCAUAGCGUAUCCAUGGCAUUACAGAUAGCAUUUUUCCAUAAUCAUCACCGUUACGCUGAAACUGCAUACCCAUUUUAAUCAACUGCAAUAUCUCGGCCUGUUCUGAGCGUGGUCGUCGCUCAUUCAUCAUGAUGUGAAAGAAAGAGUUGUAUGUAAACGGGCUAAAAAGAUUUGGCACACAAACUCUAUAGCCGCCGGGCUUAGAUAAUUCUCGUUCAUGCGCAUAACGGGGACCAUUUCGAAUAAGAUCUAAAAGAUCAGUUAUCUCUUCUUGUAUGACUAGUUCAAGUUCAGUGAAGCGUCGACCAAACCCAAAAUCACGAAGAUAGCGUAAAAUGAAGCGCCGCUGUUCUUUCCAUACUGGACCGUCUCGGAAGAAUAUGCCUACAAAAUAGAGGAAUAGAAAUUUUUAUUGUCACAAAAGGAUCGGCAAAGCUGUUGUCGCUUUAACAACAUGUGUUUGAAAGAUUGCCGUGGACAUGGCUAUGAUACUGGUAGUAAUAUGCGCGGUAAAUAUGAAGGAGCGUAAAAUCACAUCCAACGUAAACAUAAGUAUGCAGUUAAUUUACUUUUUUUGCUGUUCAAAUAUAUUUCAAUAUUUUCACAACGUUGGGAAAUUCUAAAAUUCAAAAUACCCAAUUCACUUCACUGUCUUUCUAAUACAAGAUGGUCUGCCAGUACCGUGACCGUCAAGCCAUUUGCGCAAAAUCUUUCUGGAUGGAGAAACGCUUUGAAAGAAGUUAAAAAACUCAACCUUACGGCAGAAACUCGACGAGACGUUAAUGAAAUUUUUAAAUAUAUGAACAAAUUUGAGUGCGUAUUGAUGACCUCCAUAUGGUUUAAAAUCACUUAGCUAAUCAAUAAAAGAAACUUGGUUUUUCAAGAGAUCAAUGCCAAAUGCAA